GGAAACUGCCUGAUGGAGGGGGAUAACUACUGGAAACGGUAGCUAAUACCGCAUAAUGUCGCAAGACCAAAGUGGGGGACCUUCGGGCCUCAUGCCAUCAGAUGUGCCCAGAUGGGAUUAGCUAGUAGGUGGGGUAACGGCUCACCUAGGCGACGAUCCCUAGCUGGUCUGAGAGGAUGACCAGCCACACUGGAACUGAGACACGGUCCAGACUCCUACGGGAGGCAGCAGUGGGGAAUAUUGCACAAUGGGCGCAAGCCUGAUGCAGCCAUGCCGCGUGUGUGAAGAAGGCCUUCGGGUUGUAAAGCACUUUCAGCGGGGAGGAAGGCGAUAAGGUUAAUAACCUUGUCGAUUGACGUUACCCGCAGAAGAAGCACCGGCUAACUCCGUGCCAGCAGCCGCGGUAAUACGGAGGGUGCAAGCGUUAAUCGGAAUUACUGGGCGUAAAGCGCACGCAGGCGGUCUGUCAAGUCGGAUGUGAAAUCCCCGGGCUCAACCUGGGAACUGCAUUCGAAACUGGCAGGCUAGAGUCUUGUAGAGGGGGGUAGAAUUCCAGGUGUAGCGGUGAAAUGCGUAGAGAUCUGGAGGAAUACCGGUGGCGAAGGCGGCCCCCUGGACAAAGACUGACGCUCAGGUGCGAAAGCGUGGGGAGCAAACAGGAUUAGAUACCCUGGUAGUCCACGCCGUAAACGAUGUCGAUUUGGAGGUUGUGCCCUUGAGGCGUGGCUUCCGGAGCUAACGCGUUAAAUCGACCGCCUGGGGAGUACGGCCGCAAGGUUAAAACUCAAAUGAAUUGACGGGGGCCCGCACAAGCGGUGGAGCAUGUGGUUUAAUUCGAUGCAACGCGAAGAACCUUACCUGGUCUUGACAUCCACAGAACUUUCCAGAGAUGGAUUGGUGCCUUCGGGAACUGUGAGACAGGUGCUGCAUGGCUGUCGUCAGCUCGUGUUGUGAAAUGUUGGGUUAAGUCCCGCAACGAGCGCAACCCUUAUCCUUUGUUGCCAGCGGUUCGGCCGGGAACUCAAAGGAGACUGCCAGUGAUAAACUGGAGGAAGGUGGGGAUGACGUCAAGUCAUCAUGGCCCUUACGACCAGGGCUACACACGUGCUACAAUGGCAUAUACAAAGAGAAGCGACCUCGCGAGAGCAAGCGGACCUCAUAAAGUAUGUCGUAGUCCGGAUUGGAGUCUGCAACUCGACUCCAUGAAGUCGGAAUCGCUAGUAAUCGUAGAUCAGAAUGCUACGGUGAAUACGUUCCCGGGCCUUGUACACACCGCCCGUCACACCAUGGGAGUGGGUUGCAAAAGAAGUAGGUAGCUUAACCUUCGGGAGGGCGCUACCAC
rnacentral:rRNA from 1 species